AUUUUAUUUCACCCUAAUGGCAAAAUGGUCAAUAAAAGCUUCCGAGUCUCUUGCUCUUGCUCUCCCUGCUCCUCUCUCACCGGGCAGAGAAGUUUAUUACCUUAAGGUUGUUCCUGAACAAAAGAGGCUGCACAUAUUGGAUGGCUAAGACAGAAAGAUCUCACCAGUCUGGCCUUCUGAAGCUGAAACAGGCUCACACAGUUGGGAAGAAGAAGAACCAAGAUAUAAACUCAGAUUUUUUUCUUUUUUUUUUUUUUUUGAGACAGUUUCACUCUUGUUACCCAGGCUGGAGUGCAAUGGCGUGAUCUCGGCUGGAGUGCAAUGGCGUGAUCUGAGCAUCUCCCGGGCUCAAACGAUUCUCCUGCCUCAGCCUCCUGAGUAGCUGCGUUAUAGGCAUGUGCCACCACACCUGGCUAAUUUUUUUUUUUUUUUUUUUUUUGUAUUUUUAGUAGAGACGGGGGUUUCACCAUGCUGGCCAGGCUGGUCUCGAACUCCCGACCUUAGGUGAUUCCCCCGCCUCUGCCUCUCAAAGUGCUGGGAUUACAGGCGUGAGCCACCGUGCCCAGCCAAAACUCAGGUAUUUUUAAGCUCCAAAUCCAGUUUUUUUUUCCUUUUGUUUUGGCUACACCAUGCUACACAUUUUAUCUAAUGUAUGUUAUGGUCCUAACUAUAAAGUCAAGAUGAAUAAUGCUUUAA
rnacentral:antisense_RNA from 1 species